AUUGAACGCUGGCGGCAUGCCUUACACAUGCAAGUCGAACGGCAGCACGGGUGCUUGCACCUGGUGGCGAGUGGCGAACGGGUGAGUAAUACAUCGGAACGUACCUUAUCGUGGGGGAUAACGCAGCGAAAGCUGUGCUAAUACCGCAUACGCCCUGAGGGGGAAAGCGGGGGAUCGCAAGACCUCGCGCGAUUAGAGCGGCCGAUGCCUGAUUAGCUUGUUGGUGGGGUAAAAGCCCACCAAGGCGACGAUCAGUAGCUGGUCUGAGAGGACGAUCAGCCAAACUGGGACUGAGACACGGCCCAGACUCCUACGGGAGGCAGCAGUGGGGAAUUUUGGACAAUGGGGGCAACCCUGAUCCAGCAAUGCCGCGUGAGUGAAGAAGGCCUUCGGGUUGUAAAGCUCUUUUGUCAGGGAAGGAACACCGGCUCUAACACAGUCCGGGAAUGACGGUACCUGAAGAAUAAGCACCGGCUAACUACGUGCCAGCCGCCGCGGUAA
rnacentral:rRNA from 1 species